GGGAAAUCAAUGAAAUGCCAGUUAGUGAGGUUGUUCUGUGCAAUGGCCUUGGGCCCUUAGUACACAAACCAGCUAUUUGUUCAAAAACUGUACUUUGGAGACCUAACCAGAUUUCUCACAGCUUCCUACAAGACACCAGGACAACAGAUCUGUGAGCAAACAGAAGGUUGCUUGCGUGACUACGUUCGCACUGGUACAUUCACCACAAGAAAAUCAGCAGCAUGUGAACAAACAAGGUGGAAAAGCAAGUAGCUGCCUGAGCGAGCUCUAAUCAACUGAUUUGGAAGAAAAAUUCAACUUGAUUGACUGGCUUGCAUUAUACUGACAGCAAUAAAUCCUUUUGGCCAAACAGAAUUUGGU